GAGACUGGAGGCUAGGCCAUCGCUGGGCUCAGAGGACAUCGCAGCUGGCUUCUCCUCCAGUCCUGGACUCCCAGGAGACGGCUUCAGAAUGGUCGCCUCUCAGCCUGCUGGUCCCACACACUGCCUGGGGACAUCAGCCCAGGAUGGAUCGAGGUGAACUGGUACCUUCUGCUUCCUCCACAGCCUACCUUUUUCUUUUUCUCAAAAGCCAUGAAAAAGGAGAUAAUGGAGAUGAAUCACCUGGCUUCGGACGGAACAAACAGGCCAUCUGUGACCAGGAGCCCGGGCUGGAAACCCUAGCCUCUCCCUGAUGGAGGGGUUGGCAAGAGUGGGGCAGAGCUGAGUACCAGGCUCCGGUCCAGAUGCCUUGUGAGCUGGCAUACAUCACUGCCUGCCUCUCUCCCUGCCCAGCUUGGAAACCUGGGGGGCCAGGUUCCCAGGCAAGGCCUUUGAAGGGAACCUGGCUCAGUGGGACCUCAGCUUGCCAUUACCCCUUGAUGUCACCCCCUCCUUGCUCAGGCUGUAGAGGGACUGGGGGGAGGCCAGAGGGGUCUGUCUGCACCUUCUGGUGAACUUUAAGAAAGCUCAGAGGUGAACUGGCCCAAGGCCCAGGGGCUGAUGGGAGGUGGUUUGGCUGCUGUCUCCAGAAGAGGAGAGCAGAGAGCGGAAGGGAAGAGAGAGGACUCUAGUGCCCCCGAC
rnacentral:lncRNA from 1 species